GAUGAACGCUGGCGGCGUGCCUAAUACAUGCAAGUCGAGCGAACGGACGAGAAGCUUGCUUUUCUGAUGUUAACGGCGGACGGGUGAGUAACACGUGGAUAACCUACCUAUAAGACUGGGAUAACUUCGGGAAACCGGAGCUAAUACCGGAUAAUAUUUUGAACCGAAUGGUUCAAAAGUUAAAGACGGUCUUGCUGUCACUUAUAGAUGGAUCCGCGCUGCAUUAGUUAGUUGGUACGGUAACGGCUUACCAAGGCAACGCUGCAUAGCCGACCUGAGAGGGUGAUCGGCGACACUGGAACUGAGACACGGCACAGACUCCUAGGGGAGGCAGCAGUAGGGAAUCUUCCGCAAUGGGCGAAAGCCUGACGGAGCAACGCCGCGUGGGUGAUGAAGGUCUUCGGAUCGUAAAACUCUGUUAUUAGGGAAGAACAUAUGUGUAAGUAACUGUGCACAUCUUGACGGUACCUAAUCAGAAAGCCACGGCUAACUACGUG
rnacentral:rRNA from 1 species